UGCCAUACCAUACCAUACCAUGCAUAUGGUAUGGUAUGGCAUGGCAUGGCAUGGCAUGGCAUGGCAUGGCAUGGCAUGGCAUGGCAUGGCAUGGCAUGGCAUGGCAUGGCAUGGCAUGGCAUGGCAUGGCAUGGCAUGGCAUGGCAUGGUAUGGUAUGGUAUGGUAUGGCA